AAUAUUAGCAUUCUGACUGGUGUAAGAUAGCAUCUUACUGUGGUUUUAAUUUGCAUUUCUCUGAAGAUUACUGAUGUUAAGCAUUUUUUUUCAU